rnacentral:rRNA from 1 species
UACAGAGAGUGCAAGCGUUAAUCGGAAUUACUGGGCGUAAAGCGCGCGUAGGUGGAUACUUAAGUCGAAUGUGAAGGACCUGGGCUUAACCUAGGAAUUGCAUCCGAUACUGUGUAUCUAGAGUAUGGUAGAGGGAAGUGGAAUUUCCGGUGUAGAGGUGAAAUGCGUAGAUAUCGGAAAGAACACCAGUGGCGAAGGCGGCUUUCUAGACCAAUACUGACACUGAGGCGCGAAAGCGUGGGGAGCAAACAGG